GGGGUUGUGGCUCAGUGGUAGAGCACUCACCUAGCAUGUGCAAGGCACUGGGUUCAAUUCUCAGCACCA
rnacentral:tRNA from 1 species